rnacentral:lncRNA from 1 species
AGUGUCAUUCGGAGCGAAGUGACGACACCAUCUUUUUUCUUUGGAUUAGUGCUACUUCACUCUUACACAUAGUAAAGCUGCGACAGUAUGAUAAACGUCAUUUUUAAGUUAGGAGAAGUACGAAGUUAGCUGAUGUCUUUCCUGUUAUUUUUAUUUAGUCACUGUUUACAUUGGACAUUGACAUUUAUUUGUAGAUGUUUUUAGACGAAUAUUCUGUUUGGUUUUGUUUUUUAUUGUUAAUUGUGCAGCGAAAUUGUGAUAGUAAAUUAAAUAUAAAGUUGUUUAUAGCCUACAGAACUGAAUUAUCCCAUAGUAAUUAUCAGUUUGUGUCAAUUUGUUUGUGUGUAAAAAAGAAAAAACACCUUUCCUUGUGUUUGACCGACUUGUAGCAAGGGCUUUCUUGAGAAGCCUGUAAAUUGCGGGAAUAAGACAAACAGGGAUAAAAUCCUCACUUUUUACUGUUCCCAAGGCUAUACAUUUCCCCCAUGCAAUACAUUUAAAUGCAUUUUAUCCAAACAAAGGCAGGAACAUUGGAUAAAAGCAAUAAAGAGAACAGACCACAAAUUAAAAUAUGAGAGUAUGUAGUAAACAUUUUAUAAGUGGAAUAAACACCAGCUAUUUUAAAUGUAGGAAAAGGAGAAACUGUUGGAAUCUAAUUUUACACAAAUGUUUUUGACUAUUGAAGAUUUGGAUAAACAACAGAAGUUACUUUGGGCUAUAGCUAUGUGCAGAUUUAUUUCCUUGUGGAUUACUAUGUUUAUUCUUUUUAACUAUACUUCCUAUAUUGUUUGUGAGAUUAAUAUUAUUAUUUAAUUGAUUAUAUUAAUAUUUUGUAAUAAUAAUCAAUGCUUUGGUUUAACAAAUAGACAACUUAGAAUAGAAAAA